rnacentral:rRNA from 1 species
AUUGAACGCUGGCGGCAUGCUUUACACAUGCAAGUCGAACGGCAGCGCGGGCUUCGGCCUGGCGGCGAGUGGCGAACGGGUGAGUAAUACAUCGGAACGUGCCCAGUAGUGGGGGAUAGCUCGGCGAAAGCCGGAUUAAUACCGCAUACGACCUGAUGGUGAAAGCGGGGGAUCUUCGGACCUCGCGCUAUUGGAGCGGCCGAUGGCAGAUUAGCUAGUUGGUGGGGUAAAUGCCUACCAAGGCGACGAUCCGUAGCUGGUCUGAGAGGACGACCAGCCACACUGGGACUGAGACACGGCCCAGACUCCUACGGGAGGCAGCAGUGGGGAAUUUUAGACAAGGGGCGAAAGCCUGAUCCAGCAAUGCCGCGUGUGUGAUGAAGGACUUCGGGUUGUAAAGCACUUUUGGCGGGAACGAAGAGGACUGUGCUAAUACCACGGUUCGAUGACGGUACCCGCAGAAUAAGCACCGGCUAACUACGUG